rnacentral:rRNA from 1 species
GACGAACGCUGGCGGCGUGCUUAACACAUGCAAGUCGAACGGAAAGGCCCUGCUUUUGUGGGGUGCUCGAGUGGCGAACGGGUGAGUAACACGUGAGUAACCUGCCCUUGACUUUGGGAUAACUUCAGGAAACUGGGGCUAAUACCGGAUAGGAGCUCCUGCUGCAUGGUGGGGGUUGGAAAGUUUCGGCGGUUGGGGAUGGACUCGCGGCUUAUCAGCUUGUUGGUGGGGUAGUGGCUUACCAAGGCUUUGACGGGUAGCCGGCCUGAGAGGGUGACCGGCCACAUUGGGACUGAGAUACGGCCCAGACUCCUACGGGAGGCAGCAGUGGGGAAUAUUGCACAAUGAGCGGAAGCCGGAUGCAGCAACGCCGCGUGCGGGAUGACGGCCUUCGGGUUGUAAACCGCUUUCGCCUGUGACGAAGCGUGAGUGACGGUAAUGGGUAAAGAAGCACCGGCUAACUACGUG